rnacentral:lncRNA from 1 species
UGGUACAUGAUCCAAAUUCACUAUCUCAAGUCCGAUCAUCACGUGAGUUGAGAAUAGUUUCAGUGGUAAGCAUCCCUAUGUUAAUCAUAUCAACUAUACGAUUCAUGCUCGACCUUUCGGUCUCAUGUGUUUCGAGGCCAUGUCUGCACAUACUAGGCUCGUCAAGUUUAACCCGAGUGUUCCGCGUGUGCAACUGUCUUGCACCCGUUGUAUGUGAACGUUGAGUCUAUCACACCCGAUCAUCAUGUGGUGUCUCGAAACGACGAACUGUGGCAACGGUGCACAGUCGGGGAGAACACAAUUUCGUCUUAAAAUUUUAGUGAGAGAUCACCUUAUAAU